GAUGAACGCUGGCGGCGUGCCUAAUACAUGCAAGUCGAGCGAACAGACGAGGAGCUUGCUCCUUUGACGUUAGCGGCGGACGGGUGAGUAACACGUGGGUAACCUACCUAUAAGACUGGGAUAACUUCGGGAAACCGGAGCUAAUACCGGAUAAUAUUUCGAACCGCAUGGUUCGAUAGUGAAAGAUGGCUCUGCUAUCACUUAUAGAUGUACCUGCGCCGUAUUAGCUAGUUGGUAAGGUAACGGCUUACCAAGGCAACGAUGCGUAGCCGACCUGAGAGGGUGAUCGGCCACACUGGAACUGAGACACGGUCCAGACUCCUACGGGAGGCAGCAGUAGGGAAUCUUCCGCAAUGGGCGAAAGCCUGACGGAGCAACGCCGCGUGAGUGAUGAAGGUCUUCGGAUCGUAAAACUCUGUUAUUAGGGAAGAACAAACGUGUAAGUAACUGUGCACGUCUUGACGGUACCUAAUCAGAAAGCCACGGCUAACUACGUG
rnacentral:rRNA from 1 species